GGAUCCCUUGAACCCAGGAGUUCAAGGCUGCAGUGAGCUAUUAUCAUGCCGCUGCACUCUGCACUCCAGCACCCUGGGCAAUGUAGUAAGACCCUGUCUCUAAAAAAAAACAAAAACAAAAAACCAACAAAUGGGAGUGGCAGCAUUCCCAUAAUACUUUGCUCAUAAGUAUUUUUGGUUCUCAGGCCCUAGCGGGCUAAUGCCUGAUGUGGAAUAUUUCUAGCUCCCCAGCAGGCUCCCCUGUGCCCCUUUCUCACUCCCCUCCCCUGUUCCAUGCACCAACAGACCUGCUUGCCAUCAGCAUAAAUUGGUUUUGCCUAUUCUAGAACUUCAAAUAAAUGGAUUCAUAUGGUAUGUGCUCUUUGGGGUCUGGCUUCCUUUGCUAGUGGAAUGCUUCUGGAGUCAUCCAUGAAGUCGUGUGUAUCAGUUCAUCCUUUUGAACGCUGAGUAGUAUUCCGUCGCUGGGAUGUACCGUGAUGCGUUUCUCCAUCUGGCUGUUGGACGUUGGGGUUGUUUCCCGUUUGGGGCUGUUCUGAAUGAAGCUGCAGUGAACAUCCAUGUACGAGCCUGUCGUAGUCAUUUCUCCUCAUUUCCUUUGGGUAAAGAUGUCAGCUACUUUUUUUUUAACCUGAUAUUUAUCGAGUAUUUACAGGUACCAGGCCCUGUGCCGGCAUCUUAAAUGUUUUAUCUCCUUUAAUCCCUUGCCUAAACUGUAGCAAGACCAGGCCUGCACCACAUCUUAUCUCCUUAAUCAUCCUAAACACAUAAUCCUCACGGAUAACGGGAAGGAUGAUGAUAAUAAAAACAAUACUGGAUUGGAAAUGAUAUGGCUAACACUGUGUACCUAGUGCUUCAUCGGGAGUGUUAAAAGCACAUUCUGUCCUGUUCCUAAGUGUGGACUGUGUACACUGACUUCCUUCCAAAGACAGAACACAGGGGAGGGGGAGGAGUCACUUUAUGGUGAGAAACCUGACGUGUGCUAGCUCAGCCAGGUGAUCAAAGUCAAGAGCACAGCGCCCAGUCAUGGUGACAGGGUGUACUUCCGCUACGAUGGGAUGCCAAUGGCACUGCACUCCUGAGCUCUUCCUCCUCAAAGCCCGUAAAGCCAGUCCACUCAUAGGAAAAGCGUCAGAAGAAUCCUAAUAGAGGGGCAGCCCACGAAACACCUGACCAGUAUUUCUCGCUCGAACUGUCAAGGUCAUCGCAAACAAGGAGAGUCUGAGAAACUGUCACAGACAAGAGGUGCUAAAGAGACAGGACACCUAAGGGUAACGAGACAUCCCGGAAGGACAUUAGGUAAAAACUGAGGAAAUCGGAAUCAGCUCUGGACUUUAGUUCAUACUGAUGUAUCCACAUCGGCGCGAACCUUGUAACAAAAUGUACCAAACUAAGGAGAGACGUAAGAUGAUAAUGAAAGAGGAAGCUGGGUGCAGGGGGUAUAUGGGAACUCUCUGUCCUAUCCGCUCAAUUUUUCUGUAAAUUUAAAACUGUUCUAAAAACAUAACGCCUACCUUUAUAAAGUGCGUUAUCUCACUUCAUGCCACAGUGACAGGCCCCAGCCCAUCCUGACUUUUCAGAGGAGGGUCAGGCCUGCCCGGGGUCACACGGAGGCCGGUGCCAAUCAGGACUGCUGGCCUGGUGCGGAGACGGAGAGCGCGGCUGGGAGACGCAGCGAACGCAGCUGCGGGUGAGUCCGGGAGAUGUUUUGCUCACCGACUGCCCUGGGUCCAAAUCCUUGCCAAAUCCAGACUCUCCGCUUCUGCCUACCAGGCGGGCCGUGACCCGAGGCCGCAUGACUUCCCUGACCUCGCCACGGAUCUCUGCACUGGCUGUGCCCUCUGCCCGGAACACCCUCCCCCCCGCAGGCUGCCAGAAGAUACGCUCCUUCCGGGACCAAUCGCAGCCCCUCACUCUUCCUCCAGUCGCCCGAGUGGAACGAACAGCUCAGGGCGGCCAUGGCCACUCAUCUGUCCACCCGUUCAUUCAGGACAAGGUCCUUGUCAAGGUCACCAGUGACCUCCAGGUGGCCAAGUCCGGCAGUUCCUUUGUCUUGCUAGUCUGCUCGGUGGCUGGUCCCGGUCCCCCGGAAACACAUUCUCCUCUUGGCCACAGCAGCCCUCCCCGGCUCUGGGAGAGGCUCUGCCCCCACCUCGCCUCGCCUCUCCCUGCGCACAGCCCCUGGGGCGCCACUCCAGCCUCCAGGCUUCAAGCGCCAUCUCUAACGGAUGACCCCUGGACUUCGACUUCCUGCUGGCCCCGCUGCUGGUGCUCUAGCAGGCACUCAGGCUUCUCCCCAGGCCAGCUCUGCUGCCCUCUCCCCAGCCGUCCGGGCGGCCUCAUCCCUCCCGUCGCGCAGGCCAAAAACCCAGGAGUUGCACUGACUCUUCCCUCUCUCUCCUCCACAGCCAACCCGGGGGCACAUCCUGGCAGCUCACCCUUCACGGCUCAUCCGGAUUUGGACAACUCGCCACCACCCCCACUGCCCCACCCGGGUCUGGGCCACCGCCUCCGGUGCAGCUGGACCCCUGUGGGCGCCUCCUUCCUGGCCUCUCCACCCCCGGCCACCUGCCCUGCAGCAUCAGAUGAUGGCUUGCCUAGGACACUGGAACCUCUGGGAAGACGGUGAGGAGUAGGGGGCAAGCUCUGCAGGAUGGCACGGUGCCCUCACUGCCUACGUAUGAACACUAAAACCAGAGCUACUGUCUACAUGAAUUAUAGACUGUGCAAACACCACUAUCAGGAGAUCGUCUGCUGUUAUCAGCCCAGGGGCAAAGUUUCCUCAUCUGGAAAAUGACGACAACCUUAGCAUCUACCUCCCAGGCUGUGGAUGGGUAAGGACUGACUGAUGGAUAACAUCCAGGAGACAGUAAUACACUGUAGUUUGCUUAUUUGUUUAUUCAUUCAUCCAUUCACUGACUCAGUAAAUACUGAAUACUGGCUAUGCGAAUGAAACAGAUAAAAAUCUCUGCCCUCAGGGAGCUGACAUUUGAGUUGCGGGAGACAGACGAUAAACAGAUAAAGAAACACAUUGUGUAACAGUCGGGGCGGGGG